rnacentral:misc_RNA from 1 species
GGAAAGGAUCCUAACAAGCCGAAGAGGCCUCCGAGUGCCUUCUUUGUUUUCAUGGAUGAGUUCAGGGUGACUUAUAAGAAGAAGAAUCCCAAUGAGAAACAGGUUUCUGUGGUUGGUAAGGCCGGUGGAGUGAAGUGGAAGUCUCUGUCUGAUGCUGAGAAGGCUCCCUAUGUGACCAAGGCUGAGAAGUUGAAGGCUGAGUAUGCGAAGAAGUUAGCUGCUUAUAACAACAACCCUGUGGGUGAGGAAGAAUCUGAUAAGUCAAAAUCUGAAGUGAAUGAUGAGGAAGGAAGUGAAGAGGAAGAUGAGGUGGAGGAUGAG